rnacentral:rRNA from 1 species
ACUACCGGUACUCGCGAAUGCAACAGAUGGUUNAUUGGUCAUGGCUCAGCACGUGACCCGCUGGGUUUCAGCCUAACACAUGCAAGUCGAACGGCAUGCACAGGAGAGCUUGCUCUCAUGGGUGGCGAGUGGCGGACGGGUGAGCGAAUACAUCGGAAUCUACUCUGUCGGUAGGGGGAUAACUGUAGGGAAACUUACUGCCUAAUACCGCUAUACGACCUACAGGGUGAAAGCACGGGUGAUCUUCUGUGACCUUGCGCGAUUGAAUGAGCCGAUGUCGGAUUAGCUAGUUGNGCCAGUGGUGUAAAAGUGCACCCACCA